rnacentral:rRNA from 1 species
UACGUAGGGGGCUAGCGUUGUCCGGAAUCAUUGGGCGUAAAGCGCGCGUAGGCGGCCCGGUAAGUCCGCUGUAAAAGUCAAAGGCUCAACCUUUGAAUGUCAGUGGAUACUGCCGGGCUAGAGUCCGGAAGAGGCGAGUGGAACUCCUGGUGUAGCGGUGAAAUGCGCAGAUAUCAGGAGGAACACCGGUGGCGAAGGCGGGUCUCUGGGCCGAUACUGACGCUGAGGAGCGAAAGCGUGGGGAGCGAACAGG